GGGGGACAACAUUUCGAAAGGAAUGCUAAUACCGCAUACGUCCUACGGGAGAAAGCAGGGGAUCUUCGGACCUUGCGCUAAUAGAUGAGCCUAAGUCGGAUUAGCUAGUUGGUGGGGUAAAGGCCUACCAAGGCGACGAUCUGUAGCGGGUCUGAGAGGAUGAUCCGCCACACUGGGACUGAGACACGGCCCAGACUCCUACGGGAGGCAGCAGUGGGGAAUAUUGGACAAUGGGCGCAAGCCUGAUCCAGCCAUGCCGCGUGUGUGAAGAAGGCCUUAUGGUUGUAAAGCACUUUAAGCGAGGAGGAGGCUACUUUAGAUAAUACCUAGAGAUAGUGGACGUUACUCGCAGAAUAAGCACCGGCUAACUCUGUGCCAGCAGCCGCGGUAAUACAGAGGGUGCAAGCGUUAAUCGGAUUUACUGGGCGUAAAGCGCGCGUAGGCGGCUAAUUAAGUCAAAUGUGAAAUCCCCGAGCUUAACUUGGGAAUUGCAUUCGAUACUGGUUAGCUAGAGUGUGGGAGAGGAUGGUAGAAUUCCAGGUGUAGCGGUGAAAUGCGUAGAGAUCUGGAGGAAUACCGAUGGCGAAGGCAGCCAUCUGGCCUAACACUGACGCUGAGGUGCGAAAGCAUGGGGAGCAAACAGGAUUAGAUACCCUGGUAGUCCAUGCCGUAAACGAUGUCUACUAGCCGUUGGGGCCUUUGAGGCUUUAGUGGCGCAGCUAACGCGAUAAGUAGACCGCC
rnacentral:rRNA from 1 species